UGAGACUGGGGAAGUCAGUGUGUCACCGUGCUUGGAGCUUUGCUGCCCAGUCUCUGGACUCGUUCACCAUCAGUCUCUUCCCACAAGAGAAUGUACAAAAUGAGGCCGAGGUUUCUCUGCAACAGUUUGCCAGCUGGUUUGAUGUUGGGUUUCUUUAUUUUCCUGCUUGGACCAGUUUCCACACAGAAAAACAGAAAUCGAAUGAAUUUCUUGGAUAAUGGAGAUGACAUUGUGUUAAACGGACCGGACAAUGCUGAGAAAGACACUGUUGUUGUCUGGGAAUGGAAACCACACUCAGGGAAGGAAAUCAGAAUAUUGACUUUUAGAAGAACGGGGGGCUAUUGGAUCAAGGAGAAUGCCGCUGGCAACUUGUACCCGGGGAUGAAUGUGGAUACCUAUACCCUUGAUCUAAGAAUUGAUAAACCCACAUUUAAAAUGGCGGGAAUUUUCACUUUGAACCAAACAAAACCGAGAAAGCAAAUCCUGAAACAAUAUGAACUAUUUGUGAUGAAAGGUGAGUGAGUGCGAUAAGGAUCAAUAAUGUUGAUCUACGUAGGCACCAAAUCC